rnacentral:misc_RNA from 1 species
GCCCUUGUUCCUAAGUUUUGAAAUGUCUUUUCGAUAAACCCAAGUAUUAUUUCAGCACUACUGUCAUCUAGUUCUGGUAUGGCAUGUCCUUUAGGAUGGUGAAUUACUUGUGGAUCCACAAAACACUCUAAUAGAACUUCUCCAUCUUUUUUUUGGUAAUCCUUUUCUCCUAAGAAAUGAAGUGAUGGACAACUAAUUGGAUAUGAAAAUGCAUUGACAGCCAAUUUUGGUACCCCAAAUGAAGGUCCUCCAAAU